CACAAAGACCUGAAGGUAGAGAAAGAGGACACAGGAGAAGAGGUGGAAGAGUAAAAUGAAGAGGGAGGGCAAAGAGACAAAUGGGAUGUCAAAUAGGGAAGCUGUGCAAAGAGUGCAGCCAACUCUGAGCUGCUUCACAGUAGCUUCUAUAAUCCAGACCUUCAGAGAGGAAAAUAUGUCAGUAGAACUGAGAGACGACCACCUAAUGGAGGCAGGAGACGGCUAAUGUAUUUUCAGAAGAGCAAGAGAUGGAAAUCAUCAAUAUGGUCUUAGCCAACAAUAUCAUUCACUUGUGUGAGAUACAAAGGAGAGUUGUAGAGGAUCUGGGAAUAUUCCAAGUCAGCAUCUCAAAAACUGACCACAUUCUUCACCAGAACAGGUUGAGGAUGAAACAGGCCCACGAGUCAAAGACCAGUUCCAGAGAAUCUUUGAGAUGGAAGCCAGAGACACUCCUCAUGAACUCAUCUUUUUUUUUGAUGAUGCAAGAUUUAAUCUUACCAAACGUAGGAGAAGGGGGAGGAACAUAAUUGGCCACCAGGACAUUAUGAACGUCUCUGCCCAGCGAGGAGGGAAUGUGACCAUGCAUGCCAUCAUCAGCCACUGAGAGGUCUUCACCAUUCAUCUGUUCGCUUUCCUCAAUGGUCUGCGAGAUCACGUAAACCGACUAGACCAGAGGGAACCAGCAUAACCAAAGGUGCCGUGCUAUUUUGUACUUUUGGACACUGGAAGUUUCCACCAGGCUGCUCUAGUUUGUGGCUGAUUCAGCAACAACCCAAGAUUUAGCAACAUCUUUCUACCUGCAUAAUCUCCCUCCUUCAACACCAUAGUGGAAUUUUUUUUCAGCAUAGCGGUAGAUCUAUAACCGAGACCCCUACAUCCGUGUUCACCUCCUCCAGGCCAUAGAGGAGGCUUGUUUAGAUAUUGCCAGAGGCUUGCCAGGAGUGGAUAAAGCACACAAGUUUUUUUUGUUCGUUUUUUUUUUCCUCUGCAGUGUGGCUAGGUCUUAUAUUGCCUCUGAUGUGGAUGAGAAUCUCUGGACUGACCCAGACCAGAGAUAGGUUGCUGAUGCAGAAUAAAUAUGAUUUCUUGUAAGUGUUUUUGUUUUUUGUUUUAGAAAAUUUCUAGAAAUUAUUUUACUGUAUUAUUUAUGAGUUGCAUAUUUUAAGGGUACAUUUACUUUUUCAUUCAUUUUCAGUUUAUUUUACUACAGUACACUGAGGAAUUAAAAGUUCUGAAAAUUUAUAAGUGCCUUUAUAUUGUGUUCAUCCUGUAAAUAGGUUGUUCUGCGGGAAAACCUUAAGUGCCAUUAUUCAUUACAGUAACAGGUUUUUAUGGUAAUGUUUUGAAUUGAUCUCACCAUUGUGUAAUGGCUGUUUUUUAGUGUAUGUGUAUUUGAUAGCUUUUGUGUGAUGUCUAAUUGCAAAGUUUGGUUUAGAUGUAAGAUUACAUGAUUUUGGGUGGAGAGUUUGGUUUUUGCAUGGAAGUUUGAAGUUUGUGACAAUGUAUGUGCAGUUAUGUAUUUGUGUUUAGAGGUUUGGGAAAUGGAGCAUAAUUUGGAGAAAUGUGUUUUGGCAAUCAAGGAAAAAAAACCUCAAUUCUUGUAAACUGUAAAAUUGACAUAAUCCCACCACUAAUGCAUUCUUGUUUCACCUCUGCUCUGUAAGUGUCUUCUCUUAUUUUCUCAAUUUUAGAAUAAUUGAUAUACUUUUAUUUAUAAAGCCAUUCUAGACAAACUUCCCUCUUAUCUUUGCAAACUUAUUUUAGAGUUCAUCUUCCAACCAUAAUCUUAGAUCACAAGACACAUAUCUGCUGUCUGUCCCUAGUGUAUGCGGACAGAGAUGGGAAAGAAAGCUUUCAUGUUAUCUGCUCCAGCCAAUUAGAAUUGUUUGCAGGGAAAUGAAAUGAAAGAACUUGGUAUCCCAUUCUGAAAAACUUUAUGGUGAAUGAUUCCUUUAUUAAUUGUCUCUGUUUUUAGCUUAUUUUAGUUUACUAAUUUCAAUGGAAUCUAUCUGGUUAAU